rnacentral:lncRNA from 1 species
UGUAUCAUAGUCGCGUGUUCCAGGUUAAUAGUGGUGAUCAAUAAAUUAAGUUGGUUGUUAGUCGAAUCAUAAGGUCGUAUUAUCGGAUCGCAUGGAUCUAGAGAGAGGGAGAUCACAUAGAGAGUAGUAUCUAUCGAGACUUCGGAACUUCUCUAAAUCACCAUAAUUGGUUGAAAAUUGGAUUUUUACACUUUUAAGUUUCAAUUUAUGUCAAUAUGUCAACACGUGUUUCUGUUUAUAACAUUUGACAACAGACACAAACACAUAUAGGAAGCUAUUGAAAUAAAAUAAAGGAUAUCAUUUAGUGAAAAAAAAGUUAUAGUUUAUUGUGAAUCAUUCUGUAAAAAAAGUUGAUAAUCGGAAAAGACUGGAGAUAUUGAUACAGAGAUACAACAAACAACUUCGUUAUUUUGUAUUAAUUCAAAUUGACAAUCUCUUUGUCUGAUAGGUGUUUCAUCAAUAAAUAAAUUGAGAGUUUCGUAACUUGCAAAUACUGUUUUAGUGAAGAAAAGACAUCAUCUUUAACCAUGGUCGUCGGAUGUAACUUCUUUCCUGAUCUUCCAAGGUGUAAAAACCAG